UACGGGGGGGGUAAGCGUUGUUCGGAUUUACUGGGCGUAAAGGGCGCGUAGGCGGCCAGCACAAGUCAGUUGUGAAAUCUCCGGGCUUAACUCGGAAAGGUCAACUGAUACUGUGCGGCUAGAGUGCAGAAGGGGCAACUGGAAUUCUUGGUGUAGCGGUGAAAUGCGUAGAUAUCGAGAGGAACACCUGCGGCGAAGGCGGGUUGCUGGGCUGACACUGACGCUGAGGCGCGAAAGCCAGGGGAGCGAACGGA
rnacentral:rRNA from 1 species